rnacentral:rRNA from 1 species
UACGUAGGGUGCGAGCGUUUAAUCGGAAUUACUGGGCGUAAAGCGUGCGCAGGCGGUUCGUUAAGUUCGAUGUGAAAGCCCCGGGCUCAACCUGGGAACUGCAUUGGAAACUGGCGAGCUUGAGUGCGGCAGAGGGGGGUGGAAUUCCGCGUGUAGCAGUGAAAUGCGUAGAGAUGCGGAGGAACACCGAUGGCGAAGGCAGCCCCCUGGGCCGACACUGACGCUCAGGCACGAAAGCGUGGGGAGCAAACAGG